rnacentral:rRNA from 1 species
GACGAACGCUGGCGGCGUGCUUAACACAUGCAAGUCGAACGGAAAGGCCCUGCUUUUGUGGGGUGCUCGAGUGGCGAACGGGUGAGUAACACGUGAGUAACCUGCCCUUGACUUUGGGAUAACUUCAGGAAACUGGGGCUAAUACCGGAUAGGAGCUCCUGCUGCAUGGUGGGGGUUGGAAAGUUUCGGCGGUUGGGGAUGGACUCGCGGCUUAUCAGCUUGUUGGUGGGGUAGUGGCUUACCAAGGCUUUGACGGGUAGCCGGCCUGAGAGGGUGACCGGGCCAAAUGGGGAAGGGGAUACGGCCCAGACUCCUACGGGGGGCAGCGGGGGGGAAUAUGGAAAAAGGGGCGGAAGCCUGAUGAAGCAACGCCGGGGGGGGGAGGACGGCCUUCGGGUUGGAAACCGUUUUCGCCUGGGACGAAGCGGGGGGGACGGUAAUGGGAAAAGAAGCACCGGCUAACUAAGG